GGGGAAAAUGCAUGAAUUGCAACGUCGACUCUGCAUUCAGUUAGAUAACGCAGGAAAACAUCACUGGAAACGAGAGUCCCAAAAUUCAUGACUUACCUCUUCCACGGUCAGGCAAAGAGACUAAGCCUACGUACGGGAAGCGGAUACACGUAACUACUUCCUCUAUGGCGCUCUAUGGACGAAGGCAGAUACUACACACAGAUCUCCACCAAUCAGAGAGCUUACACAAACCAAUUUGAAUACCCACAAUUAUAAGCGGAUAUCGUGUGUUGUCAUGUGCAAAUUGUAUAAACAUGAAAACAAAAACUUGUGCAGCUGUUUGGUGUUGUCAUCCAGCAAGCAAGGCAUAAGAUUCUUCAGUUUUCCAAGGGAUCCAGCACGGAGGAUGCUGCAGUGAAUAUCUGGCGACAGCUGCAUUUGUUGAAGAGGUUGAUGACCUCUUUGAUGAAGAAAGCAGUCUUCUGGGAUUUGGCACCGUGUAUAUGUGGUGUUAACCGACGUUUCGGAGGA